GACAGCAGUAGCCGCGGGAAUACGAGGGGGCAAGCGUUGUUCGGAUUUACUGGGCGUAAGGCGUACGUAGGCGGAUCGAUCAGUCAGGGGUGAAAUCCCAGAGCUCAACUCUGGAACUGCCUUUAAUACUGUCGAUCUGGAGUAUGGAAGAGGUGAGUGGAAUUCCGAGUGUAGAGGUGAAAUUCGUAGAUAUUCGGAGGAACACCAGUGGCGAAGGCGGCUCACUAGUCCAUUACUGACGCUGAGGUGCGAAAGCGUGGGGAGCAAACAGGAUUAGAUACCCCCGUAGUCCCUGUCUCUUAUACA
rnacentral:rRNA from 1 species